UACGAAGGGGGCUAGCGUUGCUCGGAAUCACUGGGCGUAAAGCGCACGUAGGCGGCUUUUUAAGUCAGGGGUGAAAUCCUGGAGCUCAACUCCAGAACUGCCCUUUGAUACUGAGAGCUUGAGUCCGGGAGAGGUGAGUGGAACUGCGAGUGUAGAGGUGAAAUUCGUAGAUAUUCGCAAGAACACCAGUGGCGAAGGCGGCUCACUGGCCCGGUACUGACGCUGAGGUGCGAAAGCGUGGGGAGCAAACAGGGAU
rnacentral:rRNA from 1 species